UCCUUUGUCCUUUACAAUAUCGCGUGCUAGAACCCCUUAGAAAAUCAGUUAUUUAGAUGAGAAAGUCCAGCCCUGUACCUGAAGAGGCCAGUUCUGUAUAGCGGAAAAAAUGAAACUGGGGACAGGCUGACCAGAUAUCAGAGAUCUCCAUGACCCACCUCCAGGAGAAUGAGAUCGUGGUGUUCAGGGCAGCUGCAGAUGGGCCUAGGCCCACUUUCUGGUGACUCAGUACAAGGCAGAACAAGAGAAAACAGCAAAACAGCAAGAGAGCUGGAGGCAGUAGAGAACCUUGGAAAGAACAGACGACUUGGUGCUAGAGCCCUUGCUUCUUUUCUGCCCUUUACCGCUGUUUAAUUGUGUGAUCUGGGCCACAGUUUCCAAUCUCUAAAACAAAGAUGGUCCUAGAUGAUUGCUAAGGAGAGUUCUAGCUCUGAUGUUUUAGAGUUCAGUAAAGAACUUCCGGCACAGUAGCAAGGACGUAUGAAAUAGGUAUCUCCCAUCCAAGUACUGACCAGACUCAAGCCUGCUUAGUUUCUAAGAUCAGAAAAGAUCAGGCACUGCAGGGUGGUACGGCCAUAGACUAAAACAAUUAUCUAAGAACAUUUGUAGUGUUUCCUUCCCAGGGAUGUGAAAACCCAGACAAGAUUCUUGAUCAUCUCAGAUAGCUUGAGAGGUCCUAUCUGGAGCCAGGGUCAUAAAUCAGAUGACUUCUCAGACCCAUUCCAGCCCUGGGAAUCUGUUGAUCUAGGAUAAAACAGCUGGGAAGACAGCUCAGAACAAAUUCAAGGACUGAGUGAGUUAACAGGCAUUCCUGACCUCUCCACAGGUAGGAGUGGGGGCACCCCAAUGUAAUUGACAGUGAAAUCAGCAGGGAGCCCAGUGUCUUUGCCACCUGAAACUUCAUGUAGUCAGAGCUUUUGCCAGGGCUUUCCUGCCUCUGCUUGUGUUAGUCGGACUAGGCUAGGCUGUAGUAAUAAAUAGGCCACCCAGAUGCAGCAGCUUAACACCAUAUGUGUUUCAUUCUUGUUCCCUUGACGGCCUUAGACACUGAUGUUCAGCUCAAUAGGCUGCAUGAAGAAGCUGUCCCAUUGAGCUGAUCAUCAGUGUGUAAGGCUGUUAAAGGAAUAGGAAUCCACAUUAUGAAUCCACGUUAUGGUGGGUCUGCCAUACCCUACUAUGGCUUCCAAAGUUGCUCUGGGAAUUGGAUCCCAGUCAGCCAGAGGUGAAAAGAACGUGGUGGUGUGAGCAGAGGAGGUUUUGGUGGGCCCGGUCUGGAAGUACCUCAUCUCCUCUUACAUUCCACUGGAGAGAGCAUGGACACAUGGCUCACCCAACUGCACAGGAGGCUGGGAAAUGUAGUCUAACCACAGAGGCAAAGAAGGGGAGAAGGGAUUUGGGUAGACCACUAACAAUCUCUGCCCUACCUCUAGAUAUCAGUAGAGCAGGUAAAGAAAGGGAGAGUAAAAAGAUUCAUCUUUUGGUCUCCGUUUCCUUCUUUAUGAGGAUGUUGAAUCAAAUGAUCUCUCAAGGCCACCUAAUCUAACAUUCAGUGGUAUGAAGGGGCCAUGAAAUGUCCUUCCACACCAAAGUGAACAAACUAUACAGGUUCCUGCCACAGCGGAUCUGCGGCUUGACUGGUAGACUGAACAGAGAGGACCUUGGGUUCUCUCUAAGUUCUGUUCCGAAGCUAUUCUCAUUCCUUGGCCAAGUCGGGUGAUCUCUAUUGAUCUGUCUCCUUAGCUGCCCAGUGGGGAGAAAAAUCAUUUCCCUCUGCUGCCUCUUGGGGUUGGUCUGAGGAUAUGAUGAGAUCACUGCCCAGAAGGCACCAGGAACUCUUCUGACUAAAGUGGUCUGCAUGGUGCCCUUAUUGUAGCCAGAGCCUUUUCUAACACUACAUUCUAACCUGGCCCCACGGUGUGCCCAGUUCCUGAGGAUGGUGCCUGUGCAGGAUUUGUGGUCACAUAGGUUGGCAUUGCCAUGGCUGGGAUGCAGAGGCAGAUGCACAGCAGUAAUGUCCCAGGGACACUCAGGACUCUGGUGCCUGAGGGUACCUGAGGGCUGACAGAUCAGUUAAUAGACACCUGGAUUGAGCUCCACCUAGGGACAGGUAGGUUGGGCCCAGGGAUCAGUAUCUCCACUAGAGCAUCUGGUGGCUUCUCUGUUAUCUGCUCAUCAUCCUAUUAAACCCUGAGUCUGUUUACUUAUCCUCUCAUCUGCUUGUUCCCUCCCACUCUUAAUCUACAAGGUGCUUUCUGGGAUGCUCUGUGCUUUAUUCAUCUUUAUAUCCUCAGAAUCCAACAUAAGACUUUCUUUUAUUUAGUCAUUCAACAAAUACUUACUGAGUGACUGCACUGUGCCCGGCACUGUGCUGAGUGCUGGGCAAGUCUGUGACAUCAUAGAGCUUAAGGGUUUGAAGGAGACAGACAGUAAUUAGAAGAGUAUAAAUGUAAACUUGUCAUGUGUAAGUGCCUGAAGGAGAGCACUCAGGAGGGUGUGUUGGGUUUUCCCAUGGACAUGAAAUCCCAUGGACAUGAAAUUGAACCCUGAUCUGAAAGCUGUGUAGGCUGUUAACCAGGCAAAGCAGACUGGGGAGAGGAUGUACAAGGCCCCUGAGACAGGAGGAAGUAGGAUACAUGCAAAGGACUGGAAGAAAGCUAUUGUGACUGAGAUAGAGAGUGAGG